GGUGUAGCUGACUGGUGGAUGAAUUGUGGGCGGAGAUGGUGGUUGUGGGGAGUUGGUGCCUAGGAGACAAUUAUGACCUGGCCUUUCUCUGCAGCUCCUCUUGGGAAGGCAUUUUCUUCUUUCUGCAAAUCGUGCUGCUGUUUGUUUGGAGAAGGAGAGCUGUGGAUGUCUGGAUAUAUGUUCUGGUACUGUGGGCAACAGAAACAGCACAAUGCAGUGCUUUCUCAACUUGCACAAUCUUAGGAAAUACUUUGGGGGCUUGUUAAAAAUAUAAAUUCUCUGCCCCUCUGCCUACACCAAGCAAAUCGGAAUCUUCAGAAGAGGGAUCUGGGAAGCAACGUGAACAAAGCCAGGCAAAUUUGGUCAACUAUCAGCAUGACAAGGU
rnacentral:lncRNA from 1 species